ensembl:lncRNA
AGGCCAUUUGGACAACGCUUAUGCCAAUUACCUUUACAUUGAAAUCAAUCCAAAUCAAAUCCCUUAUUAACAUGGGUGAUCCGUGUGGGAGUCAACCUCCAACCUCCGCAGAGUUGGAAUGCCUUGCUCGACCACUUGAGCUGGACUGAACCAUUCAUCUCACCAUAACAUACAUCAUAGACAACCACUGUUUUCAUGUGACUACAAAUGUCUGCUAUUGUUUGCUGCACUGAUUAUAUAUGCAGAGAUAUUUAUCGGGUUAAGGUUCAGCAAAUAAUUGAUAUACUUUGUGCUUGUUAUCCUCUAAGUAGGCCUCGUGGCUCAAAGACAGCUCUUAAAAACGGCCCAUGCCAAACUGUAUACUGCUGGAUGUUUUCUAAUCAAUUGGAGUUGGUGCAGAAGGAACGUCAUUGCCACGGUACUCAUUCUGCAGCCAAUAGAACUGAGUACAACUACAGUGCCAAGCUGAGUUAGUGAUGUGGAUUUAGUUGUAAUUUAUUUAUUUUCCCUUGGCAAAGCCAAAGGUUGGAGUUUUUAAAGCGUCGCUGCCAGUUUUGUCUGGCAAAGUUUCCGCAACAACUUUGCUACGGGAACGAUAAGGUGUCAUUCGUAAACUUGUGUUUCUCUAGAUACAUGUACCUAGGGUUUCAACUUCAUAAUCAUAUUGGUAUAAAUGCCAAGACGACAAUCUGAGAAGCUAUUAUUUUCUACUUCAGUCCAAUGACUACCUUCCUGCUAGCAUUGGCCAUUGUACAGGGAGACAGUUUUCAUUAAAAAAUCUUAACAAAAGCAAAUGUUGCAAGGGGUAUCCAAAACAGCCUGCCAACAAAACCGCUCUCCUAUAGGUGGCUAUUGAACCUGUGAGAUGUUUUUCUUCUGACAAAAUGGCUGUUGAUGGCAUUGUCGGGAUGGGAUAUGUAUCUCGGUGUGACUUACAAUGGGACCCGAGAUAGAGACACUGUCGCCAUUCAGCACGCAUGCUUCACUGUAAUCCAUGUGUAUAUACCCACAGCUGGCCAUGAAACAUUUAGUCUGCAGCUUUACUGCUUAGUGCUUGAGUCCUCUUUACUGCUUAGUGCUCGAGUCCGCUUUUAUUCAUUUCUAUAAGUUGGCAUUUCCCCUC